rnacentral:lncRNA from 1 species
UAGUCCAAUACACUGAAUUAUUCGUCCCUUCAAUAUAUCCUUGGUCAUGCAAUGAACUUGGAAGAAUGUGUUAGGCGCAGCUAUCCUUCACUUGUAUGAAUUUCUGGUCACAAAAUCUGCAGCCUUUAGGCAAGCCCUAAAAUACCGGUCAGAGAAUCACAAAAUCACAAAAGCUUCCAGGCCAGAUCACACUUGAGCUUUUUUAGGGGCAGCUCUUUAUGCACUGGCUUAUUGAUUCAUUUACACCUUCAACAUAUUUUAUCCUGAACUUGACAUAGUCCUUGACUGAGGAAUAGGAGAGUCUCAGCCUGCAAACCUUGGGAGGCAGCGGGGACCAGCUAGGUAAGUGGCAGGCUCAGGAGCACACAGAGUGCUGCGGAAGCCUGGUUGUGGGGCAGGAGAGGACCAGGACAGUUCCCAGGGACCCUGAAGGGUGAGGAACCCGGCUGGUGAAGAGGAGAGAGAAGGGCAUUCCUGGGGUAGCAACCAACAUACGCAGAGGCCCGGGAAGAACAAGUAGCUCUGGGUGGUUGAAAAACUAUGAGGAUGAAGGGAAACUAUGAGGAAAGAUGGGGUGAAGAAGGAAGAGGAAGAAUCCUCAAACCCAAGUCCAGAAGUCCUGUUACCUCAUCUGGUCCGUAGACCAUUUGAUCCCGAUAAGUUAGGUAAAUACAUUCGUACUGAGGGUUUUUGUUGUUCCCAUGAGCUGGGUUUAGCCCCGUUUCUAUCUUUCCCAUAUGUAUCUAAAUUUACAGUAGCCUGAUGAAAAAGGAGAUGUGUCCUUGAGAAAGUCUGAAUUCUCUGUGCCUCAGUGCCUUCAUCCACAAAAGGUCGACCACCUCUGCUGCAUAUUGUGAAAAUAAGAGAGAAUGCAGAUUUGAGUUUUAUAGAAAUGCAGGAAAUCUUAGUUUAUGACAGCAGGGCUCAGGGCAAAAGAAUGAAAACGACUCUACACCCCAAGCAUUGAAUUGUCCCAGACGACUUCCAAAGGCAAAAAAAAUAAAGUAACUCAGGGAAAGUAAGAGCCCAAGACCACAGAUCAUUAUAAAUUCAAUUUUUAAGUGCGGGAAAUACAGACAGACAUCCCAGAGUAAUCAAUACGUGCCCUCCAAGAACUGGUCACAACCCACUGUGAAGUCAGUUUACUGGGUCUUGGAGCAUUUUUAUUCUUCUUUUUUUUUUCUCUCUCUCUUUUUACAGCUGCAUCUACAGCACAUGGAAGUUCCCAGGCAGGGAUCAAAUCAAUCAGAGCUGUGGCUGCAGCCUACACCACAGCUACGGCCACACCGGAUCCUCAACCUAUGUGCUAAGCCACAUGGGAACUCCAGCAUUUUUAUUCUUAAGAAGCAAAAUAAGAGUAAAAUAGAAGGUGAAGUAAGCAUUGUUCUUAGAACUUUUAAAUAUGUAUUUACAUGUAUAAACACUGUGGAUUAUGAUAAAACAUAUAUCCUUAGUAUGCAUCAUGUUUCAAAAAGUCCAAAAGCUGCUACUUUAAGUGUUACAUAGAAGAGCUGAUUUCACUUUGCAAGACUCUGAGGGUCAGCAAGCGACCUAAUACACAAGCAUUUAUGCCAUAUUCCGAAGAGCAAAACGGUCUUGAGAAAGGCAAGACGUGGUAAUUUACCAGGAACUUCCAUGGCAGCAAAAUCAGAGGAGAGGGAGAUCCUUGGGGAAUGAAUUCAUCCAAAAAACGUGCAAAGUGGAGGUGAACCUUGAGCUCGUCCACCAAAGAUGGAUAGAUCUGGGUGGGCAGUGACAAAGGGAUGGGGCAUAGGAGGAGGAAGGCAGGAGGGAGGUGGGGAAAUGUGAGGCUUAUUAAAGAAUAUUUAGGGAGUUCCUGUCUUGGCUCAGUGGUUAACGAAUCCGAUGCGGAACCAUGAGGUGGCAGGUUCAAUCCUUGGCCUUGCUCAGUGGGUUAAGGAUCUGGCGUUGCCGUGAGCUGUGGUAUAGGUUGCAGACACGACUCAGAUCUGGCAUUGUUGUGGCUCUGGCGUAGGCUGGCAGUUACAGCUCCAAUUGGACCCCUAGCCUGGGAACCUCCAAGUGCCACGGAAGCGGCCCUAGAAAAGACAUUAAAAAAAGAAAAAAAAAAAAGAGUAUUUAGAAAAGCAAAAAUGAAUAUCAAGUUGGGAGAAGAGGGUUAUAGCAGAAUCUGGGUUUAGACUAAAAUAUGACCCCCAAAUUGUUCUUUAUUGCCUAUGAUUUCUUUUCCUAAUCCUGCUACUGGAAGAGAAUCUAGGCAGAAGAAUCUGUCCUUAAUCUGUAUUUUCCUGCACCUUUUUCAUUCUUUUGCAAUAAGGUACUGGCUAAGCCUUGUUCCAAAUGAAUGGAAUGGUUGAACUCUUGAAAUUACGCCACACUGUAGCACGAUUAUUUCAUUUCUCAGAACACAAGUAUAGUCACUGGCCCCAGAGGGAUCAAGUGAUUGUCGUAAAAUGGAGCAAACCCCUUCCAUUGUCUUCAGCACGUGUCCUUUCUCGAGUGCCUUGUGGGUGGGAGGCCCUGUGCGGGGCGCUGGCAGCUCUGUGAUGGUGAAUCGGCCCGCUUGGUCUUCAGAACGCACAAAAGGAAGCGUAGAAUCUGCCGGGUGUUCUUUUUCAGUUGCUCUCUGACUUGUCCAUCUUUUUAGCUAAAUAGAUAAAUGUUUCUAUGCAUUUUGAGACAUUAACCUCAGAGGACUUUGCUGUAGCUGCAGCCUUCUUUUGAGGAGAUAAAAAUCAGAGAAGAAAGUCUUUACUCGUGUUUCUGAAAACUUUGGGUGGGCUUUUUUCAGCUCUAUCUUUCCUGUGCAAUAAAGCAACGGUAGGGUGUUGACAUCCUCUUGAAUAAAGCUGUACCUUUAACCAGAAGAAUCUGUGCCCAUAUAGAAAUUCAUGGGCUUCAAUUAGUUGAUUUGGAAGGCAGUCAAAUAUGGAAAUUCACUUUUCUUAUGAAGAUGUCCUGGACUCCUCUUUAGCUUCUCUCUUCCACAUCAGAAUGUUUAGAUUAGUGAUAAUCUAGCUUUUUUGCCUGAGUCAAGUCUGGAAUAAUAAAAACAUGUGGAGGCUGCUUUUGCAUUGAAAAGACAUCUGUUGAAUUUUAUGGGGGAAAAUGUAUAUAGACACCCUUGCAAUUCAGACGACUUGCUGUUUUGAAUGCCAGUGAGAAGAAUUUGCACUGCUCUUUAUCUGGACAUAUUGGAGUUGGCAGCAUAGUAGCAGCUUUCUAACUGUUCCUGUCUGUAAUCAGACUAUCCGCUUUAUUGUGAAGCAUCACUGAGCACCCAAGUUUUUAUUUCCGGUCAGUAAUAACUGACCCUUAGCUGGAAGGUUAAAUGCUAUGACCUGUGAAAUCUGAAUCCGAAUCCACAGGUAGAGAGCUUAGAAAUCUAUUUCCUAUGAUGGUCCACAAAGGGUUCCAAACACCAGGCUUGGACACCAUUGUUCAGUCUUGUCUAUUUACAAGGAAGUAAAAAGAUUACAGGUAAGGAGUUCCGUCGUGGCUCAGCGGAAACGUAUCCGACUAGGAACCAUGAGGAUGCGGGUUCGAUCCCUGGCCUCGCUCAGUGGGUUAAGGAUCUGGUGUUGCCACGAGCUGUGGUGUAGGUCACAGACGAGGCUCGGAUCCCGCAUUGCUGUGGCUGUGGUGUAGGCUGGCAGCUCUAGCUCCGAUUGGACCCCCUAGCCUGGGAACCUCCGUAUGCCUUAAAAAGCAAAAAAUAAAAUAAAUAAAAUAAAAUACAGUCCCAAACAUGUUAAUAAAUUAUCCGAAAUCACUGUUAGAACUGGGGGGGAGGAAAAAAAAGCUAGACCUCCUCUUUCUAAUUCUCCACUAAGGGUAGGAGGAACAGGACCCAAAGUGAGGACCUGAAGGGCUCCUGAGGGUGAGGGAAAGACAUCAAAUUACCCCUGCAGCCCUUUCUCCAAAACUAAGAGUCACCGCGGUGAGCCUUUCUAAAUAACAACACAGGGAUCUCUGUCCCCGGGGUCUGUUGUGAUAGAAAAAUUGUGGGGAUCAGCUGUGUGAUCUGAGGCCAGGCGCUUUCUUGGCCUUACACACCCAGAUUCAGUUUUAAAAGGCGACUUUCUUAGGUCCUAAACCGGGCAGAUAACCAAGCCAUCUCUAGGAUGACUGCUUUAGUCACUAAUCGCAGCCUGUGACACUCGCAGAACCAAGCAGACC